AAGCCAUCACAGUCUAUAUUGUUAGAUUGUUACACUCCAUCAGCCAACCUUACUUCGUUCCUAUGCGCAAGGAACCCCCAUUUUAUCGCUAAUAUAAAUAUCCACCAACCUUACAACAUUGUCUUUAGCAAUUUAAGAUAAAUUUAUCCAAGAUAUUUGCCAAGAUAUCCCUCAUCAUAUUGCACAUUUGCCCAAGAUAUUCCUGAUGGUAUUGCACAUUUGCCCAAGAUAUCCCUCAUAGUAUUGCACAUUUGCCCAAGAUAUCCACCAUAAUUCUUCAACGAUGUGGUAAGGUGGGGUAAUUUCACAUUUGGUAUUGAAAAAGGUUUGGGAUCCGAUCCUGGGGGGUCUAGUGCACGCACGCAUUCCACGGAAUUCACGCUUGAUGCCUUAACCUAAGCUAGUCGAGUUUAUCUCACUCGCUCAUGUUGGUCUUAAACUAAACCUAAGAGACUUAAUGCACUUGUAAAUAUUUAAAUGUCAAAUCCUAGCCAGAUACCCUCAAUUACAAGCCACCAUUCUAACAGUCAACAGAAACUUUUAGCAUGCAGUUUAG
rnacentral:lncRNA from 1 species